GUACUUAAUCUGUCGUAUAUAUGUCGUUCGGCGUCUAAUGAUUACUAAGCGGCUUGGUGCCAACAUGGAUAUUUAAGUUUUUCUAGGAGGCUGAGAUCAGUUUAUAUAAGCAAUACCACAACAUACUUUAGGGUACGCAUAUUUCGUCGGCCUUUUUCGGUUUUAAUACCAGCAAGGAAGAGAAGUUACUUCAACUGUCCUUCCUGGUUGAAAGGAGAAUUAUGUUAAGAAUAAUACUAUGUUCUGAGUUUCACAGUUAACAUUUUAUAUAUUUGUAUAAAGCGUCUGUAGAUUACCAGUUCUUUUUUGUUUUAGAAAGAUAAUUAAAAGGAAGUAAAAACGGCGGAACAGAAGGCAGAUUCAAAUGAUAUAUCUGAUGGCAGAGAAAUGACGGAAAAAGCUGCCACAGGAAGAGUCCCUCUCACUUGGAGACCACGUGGAGCCGCAAUAGCAAAUAACGCAUUGUGCGGAAGCGAGGAGGGCAUAAAAUUAGAAUUGUCUGGAUCAAAAGCAUUGGUUUAGAGAAGUGGAAACCACAUCGAAGAGCAGGUAUAGACCAAUGUAUGAAAGG